GUCGUUGUAGUAGAGUGGUAAGUAUUCCCGCUUGGAAUGAGGGUGACCCUGGAUCGAUCCCCGCCAACGGUG